GAAAAACGUUUGUGCCGGGGUCAGAGAGUGAGAGCCGGCCGCUGUGUGAGUCGUGACUGUGCCGCUGCUGCUCCUCAAGAGUAAAUGUGCAGAUCCUGAUCCCUGGUGGGACUGGUGUUCUUCAACCAUUCUACAGCUGCUACUCUGAAGAACACUUUAAAGGUCAGUGCCUGCCAAACACUGAGUUACUUUAGGCCUUUUUUUCCAAGUUACAAGAGAAAACAUGAGAGUCCAAACCACAGGCAGUGGUGCGUCAAUUAAAAAUGUUGCAUUACUGCUUUUAUACCAGCAGAG